rnacentral:rRNA from 1 species
UACGUAGGAGGCGAGCGUUGUCCGGAAUCACUGGGUGUAAAGCGCGUGUAGGCGGCCUGCCAAGUCUGUCGCGAAAGGGCCCGGCUUAACCGGGUCAGGUCGAUGGAAACUGGCGGGCUGGAGGCCGGUAGAGGUGAGUGGAAUUCCCGGUGUAGUGGUGAAAUGCGUAGAGAUCUGGAGGAACACCAGUGGCGAAGGCGGCUCACUGGGCCGAGCCUGACGCUGAGACGCGAAGGCGUGGGGAGCGAACAGG